UACGUAGGUGGCGAGCGUUGUCCGGAAUUACUGGGUGUAAAGCGCGUGUAGGCGGGAGGCCAAGUCUGUGGUGAAAUCGCUCGGCUUAACUGGGCGGGGUCCAUGGAAACUGGUCACCUGGAGGUCGGUAGAGGCAAGUGGAAUUCCCGGUGUAGUGGUGAAAUGCGUAGAGAUCGGGAGGAACACCAGUGGCGAAGGCGGCUUGCUGGGCCGGACCU
rnacentral:rRNA from 1 species